GCACGGCUCCCAGGCAGGCAGGCGCGCUCGGGCGAGGUAGGAGCGAUGUGGCCUGGGAACGCCUGGCGCGCCGCACUCUUCUGGGUGCCCCGCGGCCGCCGCGCACAGUCAGCGCUGGCCCAGCUGCGUGGCAUUCUGGAGGGGGAGCUGGAAGGCAUCCGCGGAGCUGGCACUUGGAAGAGUGAGCGGGUCAUCACGUCCCGUCAGGGGCCGCACAUCCGCGUGGACGGCGUCUCCGGAGAGCAUCCACAAGAAUCUAGAAGCAAAAAUAGCCCGCUUCCACCAGCGGGAGGAUGCCAUCCUCUAUCCCAGCUGUUAUGACGCCAACGCCGGCCUCUUUGAGAGCAGGGCGCUGGUCCAGCCCGGCACUGAGACACGGGGGCCCCAGAGAGAAGCACAGAACACCUUGCCUCUCUACCCAGAGGAGCGCCCUGGCUGGCAGUACAGUUUUUUGAUUUGCUGGAGUCCCGGUCAAGGGAGAAGCCCAGGGUGGUUAAAUGAUGGCUCUACGCUCACUGCCUCCCUCCAGGCCCUGCUGACCCCAGAGGACGC
rnacentral:lncRNA from 1 species